UUAAAUCUUGUAGGCCAAUAGAAGACAGAGGUAAGGCCUCUUGUGGCCAAUCAUAUUAUUGUUAUUGUAUCAUGGUUGUGCCUGCAGUCACCACUAUGUGGCGCUGCUGCUCCAUGAUUCGACAUGUUUAUGAACCUAUUGUCACUGAGCAAGGUGUUAUCACAAAAGGAGUGGACGGAGCCUCGAGGACUAGCAAACAACCGGGGGUUAUGGAUGGAUCCGGGGUUCCCUGUAAGGAUGUGGAUUGGGAGUCUUCCCAUUGUUCCCAUGGGGGUAGAGGUGUUUUGGACCAAUAGGGGGUCAUCUAGAGAGUUGGUGUGAAAAGAAUUUUGGAGAAAUUCUCUUUAUAUGUGUGAGGUUAUGUGAGUGUGUAGCUUCUUUUUUUUUAAGGUUUGCUGAACUGUUUAGUGUUUAAUUACAACGGGAUUGUUGUCAUUUCCUGUCCUGUUUUUGGUUAUUUGACUUCGUUGCUAUGCAUCUUUGUCAUGUUGACUUUUAGUCCUACGAGGAGCGUUUACAUCUAGUGUACUGUAACGUCAAAGCAAUUAACGUAUAAUAAUCAUUGUAAUCUUAAUUUCGUGAUAAAUUCUCUGACAAUGAUCGUACCAGGGAAAUCUAUAACCGUCACAUCCCAAGGGCACCGCUGCAGGAUAUCACUGUACAGAGACAAAUCCCCUCUCAGGUGAGUGCUCUAUUUUCGUAUAUAUUUUUUUACAGCGAAAAUACGGUGAAGCAAGAAGAAUUUACUGUGAGUGAUGUUUGACAUUGCAGGUUAGCUACCGGCCUGGUAUCAGUGGAUAUUCUGACCAGUGUUGUAACAUACAAGUUAUACUAAAAGAGGUGCAUAUGAACAUACAGUAAAAAAAAAUUUUUUUUUCAUUGGCAGACAUAUUGUAAAGCAGGCAUAUAAUGAUCACAGGGGACAGAAAUGAAUAGGAUAGAGAUAUUUGAUUUGGUUUGUCGUAUUAGCGAUGUAUGCACAAUAUUAUAGCACAUGGAUAAUAUAUAAUAAUAUAAGAUUUACAUUAAAAAAUGGCCACGGUUUGCAGAGCAUGGCUCUGUACGGGGCUUUUUUACAAUAGUAGGUUUACAAUAGUAAUAACUGUUUGUGGAUGCAGCCUUAAUGAAAACAAUUGUUUUGUAAAGUAACAUUUCUGUAGUUUAUCUAUCUAUUUAAAAACACACCAAACACACUCUCACCUUUAUCUAAUGUAUUAUAAUAUCAUUUCUCAACAGGAAUUAUGUUCCUUUUUAAUGAGGGUAUCCAGUACUUUAAAAAGCGGUCUUCAUGCGAAUACAUCAGGAAGUUCUAUGAAGCGUUUAACUGCUCUUCUGUAGACCUUCCAUUAUUUCCUUGACUAUUUUAUCACAGCUGUGGCCGCCAGAGGGGGUAAUACACACAAAACCCAGUCGUUAUUAUUGAAGAGAGAUUAUAUAUUUUAUAUUUAUAUUUACUCUUUCGCACCUGUCUCCGGACCUUUUUUGUUACCAUUAUCAUCACCGUCAUCAAUAUGAUUGCUUUUAUUAUUAUUAUUGUUGUUGUGUUAAUAUUAUUAUUGUUGUUAUUAUUGUUGUAGAUGAUAAGUCGAUUAGAUAUAUUUUUCUCCUCAACGUCUUUAUGACGAAAAUGAAUUGAAUGAUGAUUUGUGUUCUCUCGUUUCCUGAUAAUGCAGAGAGAAAAAGAGGGAGGGAGGGAGAGAGAGAGGGAGAGUGAGUGAGAGUCAGAGAGAGAGAGAGAGACGCUUGUCGUAAGAAGAGCUGGGAGUGGAGGAAGACCGCGAAUGGAGACUUAAAGACAGUCCGUAGACGAGGGAAAGGACACCGCAGACGCCCUUUAUUUUCUUCUCCCCCCUUUCUUUGAAGGCUAUUCCAUUAUAUCUGGAGUCAAAGGGACUGACAACUCGUCUCGCCCAUAACCCUCUGGGUAACAGCAAAUGUUCGAAAGAGACGCUUGGUUCAGCAACACAAAUGAACAACAGGAAGGAGGACAUGGAGAUCUCCUCUCACUAUCGUCAGCUCCUGAGAGAGCUCAAUGAACAAAGGCAACAUGGCAUCCUCUGCGAUGCCUGUGUCGUUGUGGAUGGGAAGAUCUUCAAAGCGCAUAAAAAUGUCCUACUGGGCUCGUCACGCUAUUUUAAAACUCUUUACUGCCAGGU